rnacentral:rRNA from 1 species
AGAGUUUGAUCCUGGCUCAGGACGAACGCUGGCGGCGUGCUUAACACAUGCAAGUCGAACGGGGUGUUUAUUUCGGUAAACACCAAGUGGCGAACGGGUGAGUAACGCGUAAGCAAUCUACCUUCAAGAUGGGGACAACACUUCGAAAGGGGUGCUAAUACCGAAUGAAUGUAAGAGUAUCGCAUGAGACACUUACUAAAGGAGGCCUCUGAAAAUGCUUCCGCUUGAAGAUGAGCUUGCGUCUGAUUAGCUAGUUGGUGAGGGUAAAGGCCCACCAAGGCGACGAUCAGUAGCCGGUCUGAGAGGAUGAACGGCCACAUUGGGACUGAGACACGGCCCAGACUCCUACGGGAGGCAGCAGUGGGGAAUCUUCCGCAAUGGGCGAAAGCCUGACGGAGCAACGCCGCGUGAACGAUGAAGGUCUUAGGAUCGUAAAGUUCUGUUGUUAGGGACGAAGGGUAAGAAUAAUAAUACGGUUUUUAUUUGACGGUACCUAACGAGGAAGCCACGGCUAACUACGUGCCAGCAGCCGCGGUAAUACGUAGGCGGCAAGCGUUGUCCGGAAUUAUUGGGCGUAAAGGGAGCGCAGGCGGGAAACUAAGCGGAUCUUAAAAGUGCGGGGCUCAACCCCGUGAUGGGGUCCGAACUGGUUUUCUUGAGUGCAGGAGAGGAAAGCGGAAUUCCCAGUGUAGCGGUGAAAUGCGUAGAUAUUGGGAAGAACACCAGUGGCGAAGGCGGCUUUCUGGACUGUAACUGACGCUGAGGCUCGAAAGCUAGGGUAGCGAACGGGAUUAGAUACCCCGGUAGUCCUAGCCGUAAACGAUGGAUACUAGGUGUGGGAGGUAUCGACCCCUUCCGUGCCGGAGUUAACGCAAUAAGU